UAGCUUCAAUCCAGCGGGAACGUUGCGUUACACAGCAGGAGGAGUUUGAACACGGCAGCUGCAACACGUACGUCAGAUACAACCAGAUACAAGGCAAAGAGAACUUAAAGGAAUAAACGCUCUUGGAUCAAACCAUCA